rnacentral:hammerhead_ribozyme from 1 species
AUCCGACUGACAAGUCUCAGAUAGGACGAAACGCGCAUCCUGUAU